rnacentral:rRNA from 1 species
UACAGAGGGGGCAAGCGUUGUUCGGAAUUACUGGGCGUAAAGGGCGCGUAGGCGGCCUGCUAAGUCGAACGUGAAAUCCCUGGGCUCAACCCAGGAACUGCGUCCGAUACUGGCGGGCUUGAAUCCGGGAGAGGGAUGUGGAAUUCCAGGUGUAGCGGUGAAAUGCGUAGAUAUCUGGAGGAACACCGGUGGCGAAGGCGGCAUCCUGGACCGGUAUUGACGCUGAGGCGCGAAAGCUAGGGGAGCAAACGGGG